GUUGACAAAAAAAAUUAUGUAAUAAGCGGACCCAUUGUACUAGUAACUCGUUGGGCUCAAACUAUUGACUCCAAAUACUUAAGCCCAGUUAUUAAUUUUAAUUUUCCAAUUAAAUAGAAUCCCCUCGCACUUACCCAUGUUAUGUUAUUUGAUGUUGGACUAUUGGAAUGUCUUCUCCCAUUUUAGACUCAUUUCACACUUUUGACUAGUAAAUCGCUUUUGAUUUUAGGCCCACCUCAUACCCUUUCGGCUGAUAAAUUGAUCAAAAGUAAAUCGGCUUUGCUACCAAUUAUAAUGGCCUAGUUUGCAUACUUCCUCCAUUUCAAGCCCACCUCACACACUUUUGUUUCAUAAAUUAUCUCCUAUACCAAAUGUAACGAUCCAACUUACUAGUUUUUAACUGAUGUUGGACUAUUGGGGUGUCAUAUAUUUUCCUCCAUUGUAAACUCACCUUAUACUUUUGGCUGGAUAAAUCGGUUGCGAUACUAAUUCUAAUGAUCAUACUCAUAAGCAUUAAUAACUCGUUGGAUACAUAUCAUUGAUCCAAAAGGUUAUAAUCCAAUGAUUAGUUUUACUCUACUUUUCAAAUAUAAACUUUUUCAUAUUAACCGAUGUAGGACUAUUAAAGUGUCACAAAUUAAUAUUAGAAUGACAUAAAAGAGGAUUGUAAUCUAGUUUAACCUAUCGAAUCGCUAGUAUAGGGCCUGCUUCUAUUUUUUUCGGUGGAACUAUAAAACUUAUCGCUUAACCGAUUUAUUGUGAUAUGUUUAACAUAAUAUUAUUA
rnacentral:lncRNA from 1 species